UUUUGCCUCCCCCCAUUAAUAGCGUCCGAGUGUGCGUGGUCGAGUCACUUAUUAUUUGAAUUCAAUAAGUAGCCGCUUCUCCUGAGAGGACAAAAGCCGCCAUUGGACUUCGGGCGACAAAAGCUUCCAAUUAGGGUUUCAUUUCCAGAGAGAGCGAGAGGGGGGGAGGGGGAGAGAGAGGGGACAAUGGACAGUGGUGAGGCGGAGGAGGCGGCGGCGGCGGCGGCGGCGGAGCCGAGAUGCUACAUGGAUGUGAGCAUAGGGGGGGAGAUGGAGGGGAGGAUCGUGGUGGAGCUGUACGCGUCGGUGGUUCCGAGGACCGCGGAGAACUUCAGGGCGCUGUGCAUCGGGGAGAAGGGCGUUGGACCAAACACCGGGGUCCCUCUUCACUACAAGGGCACACGUUUUCAUCGUGUUAUCAAAGGCUUUAUGGUACAAGGCGGAGACAUAUCUGCGGGUGAUGGAACAGGAGGAGAAUCUAUAUACGGACUAAAUUUUGAGGAUGAGAAUUUUGUGCUGAAACAUGAAAGGAAAGGGAUGCUAUCGAUGGCCAAUGCAGGCCCUAACACUAAUGGAUCUCAGUUCUUUAUUACUACCACUAGAACCUCUCAUUUAGAUGGAAAGCAUGUUGUUUUUGGGAAGGUUCUCAAGGGAAUGGGAGUGGUCCGCUCGAUCGAACAUGCUUCUGUUGGGGAUGGUGAUCGUCCCACUGUUGAUGUUAUAAUUGCUGAUUGUGGAGAGCUGCCAGAGGGGGCAGAUGAUGGAGUUUCGAAUUUCUUCAAAGAUGGUGACAUGUUUCCUGAUUGGCCGACUGACCUUGAUGAUAAGCCCAAUGAGCUCUCUUGGUGGAUCAGUGCUGUGGAGUCUGCAAAAGCUUUCGGAAAUGAUAAUUUCAAGAAACAGGAUUAUAAAAUGGCUUUGAGGAAGUACAGGAAAGCCUUGCGUUACUUGGAUGUUUGCUGGGAAAAAGAAGAGAUUGAUGAAGAGAAGAGCUCAUUGUUGCGCAAGACCAAGUCAAUCAUACUCACAAAUAGUUCUGCUUGCAAGUUGAAAUUAGGAGAUCUGAAUGGUGCCUUAUUAGAUGCUGACUUUGCAUUGCGGGAAAGGGAGGGUAAUGCCAAAGCUUUUUUCCGCCAAGGUCAGGCAUUCAUGGCACUAAAUGAUGUUGAUGCCGCAGUCGAGAGCUUUAAGAAUGCAUUGGAGUUAGAGCCGAAUGAUGGUGGCAUAAAGAAAGAGCUUGCUGCUGCAAAGAAAAAGAUUGCUGAUAGACGAGAUCGAGAGCGAAAGGCUUAUUCGAGAAUGUUCCAAGCCUCAGCAAAAUCAGAUGCGAACAAUGAUGAUGACAACUGCUGAGCUUUAUAGGUCAGUCGAUUUUUUAAAUGAAUCUCCUGGAUGUUUGCAUUGACAAACCUAGCAGUUCCUCAAGUAGAAUGGAAGCAUUUGCAGGUUGAUAAUGGAGUGUGAGACUCAGGAAGAGAAUUCCAAAACCCAUUGGUGCGGACCUAUGUGAUAGAAAUGCUCGACAUCAUCUUUUUCUCCUUCAGUAGUAGUUAGUUGCACACUAGGAUUUUGCGGUAAUUGGCUGUUUCAUCGUGAAAGUACUGUACAAAACAUUAAAUUAGGAUCACUGAGUGAUCUUUCUUACUUUAAACAAAUAGACGGUCGCUUCUUAAUAACUUGAAUAUCCUUUGCUCCUUUUCUUUUUUUAUUUUUUA